rnacentral:rRNA from 1 species
UACCGCGAAGAACCUUACCUACUCUUGACAUCCAGAGAACUUAGCAGAGAUGCUUUGGUGCCUUCGGGAACUCUGAGACAGGUGCUGCAUGGCUGUCGUCAGCUCGUGUUGUGAAAUGUUGGGUUAAGUCCCGCAACGAGCGCAACCCUUAUCCUUGUUUGCCAGCGAGUAAUGUCGGGAACUCCAGGGAGACUGCCGGUGAUAAACCGGAGGAAGGUGGGGACGACGUCAAGUCAUCAUGGCCCUUACGAGUAGGGCUACACACGUGCUACAAUGGCGCAUACAGAGGGSGGCCAACUUGCGAAAGUGAGCGAAUCCCAAAAAGUGMGUAMGUAGUCCGGAUUGGAGUCUGCAACUCGACUCCAUGAA